UACGAAGGGGGCUAGCGUUGUUCGGAAUUACUGGGCGUAAAGGGCGCGUAGGCUGUGCUGUAAGUCAGGCGUGAAAGCCCCGGGCUCAACCUGGGAAUUGCGCUUGAUACUGCGGCGCUGGAAGGUGGGAGAGGAUGGCGGAAUUCCCAGUGUAGAGGUGAAAUUCGUAGAUAUUGGGAAGAACACCGGUGGCGACGGCGGCCAUCUGGCCCAUUUUUGACGCUGAGGCGCGAAAGCGUUGGGGAGCAAACAGG
rnacentral:rRNA from 1 species